UACGUAGGGUGCGAGCGUUAAUCGGAAUUACUGGGCGUAAAGCGUGCGCAGGCGGUUUGUUAAGACAGAUGUGAAAUCCCCGGGCUUAACCUGGGAACUGCAUUUGUGACUGGCAAGCUAGAGUAUGGCAGAGGGGGUAGAAUUCCACGUGUAGCAGUGAAAUGCGUAGAGAUGUGGAGGAAUACCGAUGGCGAAGGCAGCCCCCUGGCCAUACUGACGCUCAUGCACGAAAGCGUGGGAGCAAACAGG
rnacentral:rRNA from 1 species